rnacentral:lncRNA from 1 species
UGAACUUCUGACCUCAGGUCAUCUGCCUGCCUCGGCCUCCCAAAGUGCUGGGAUUACAGGCGUGAGCCACUGCACCCAGCCCCUUCAGAUAAUUUCUUAUUGCUCCUUAACAUCAUUUUCUUUCAAAGUGAAGAACUCCCUUUAGCAUUUCUUGUAGGAGAAGUCUGGUGUUGAUGAAAUCCCUCAACUUUUGUUUGGUUGGGAAUCUUUAUUUCUCCUUCAUCUUUGAAGGAUAUUUUCCCUGGAUAUAUUAUUCUAGGAUAAAAGUUUUUUUUUUUCUUCAGCACUUUAAAUAUGUCAUGCCACUCUCGCCUGGCCUGUAAGCUUUCCACUGAGAAGUCUGCUGCCAGACAUGUUUUUUAUUUUUAUUUUUGUAGAGACAGUGUCUCACUAUGUUGCCUAGGCUGGUCUUGAACUCCUGAACUCAAGCAAUCCUUCUGCCUGGCCUUCCAAAAUGCUGGGAUUACAGGUGUGAGCCAUGGUUCGCAGCCAGAGUUUAAAAUUGGAUAUGACAGUUGGACUGGUGGGUUAGAAUUCCAGUUUCUCCCCACUGAGGCCAGGGUCCAUAAUCUGAGCAUAUCUAGUUCAUCUUCUCCAGAUCAGUUUGGUGACUCCCUACUCAGUCUCCAUCUCAGAAGUAGGGACAGAAGGAAGAAUCUGAAAGCAGGAGGACCAGAAAAUAUGCUUUCAAUACCUCUUUUACUAUCAAAUAUCAUAGAGUCUAAGGGACACAUUAAAGGGCUAUCAUGAGUGAUUAAAGGCCAAAAAGAGUGGAAAUGACUAGCAGGGUUUACACUUGACUUUCUGCAAGUGAGCAGUGAUCCAACAAAGAUGGUGAGGUAGGGUGGAGUGGGUGAGGGUGGUGCGGAGAUUCAGUACAGGCCCAGCCCAGCAGGUUUAGUGGGGGUGAGGCAUGGGAAUAGUGGUGAAGAUAGUAUUGGAGUUACUGUGCACAAUCCAAGCUGGAACAAAACUUUAGUACACCUAAGAAUUUGGGGUAAAAUGGUGCAAUGGACAGAAUAUCCUAGAGAAGUUGUGUUGAGUUUGGGGGUAUAAGUGGGACAUCAGGUAAGGAGGCUGCUGCAGUGGCUUAGCAGCCAGCCUGAGAUCUUGGAGAUAAUGAACAAAGAGACCAAGUUGGCAUGUCAUCAGGGAGCUUGGUGGAUCUGGGGAGAGAGAUUUUCAUCUCAAGAAGGAUUUUCAGAAUUUAUAUCUGGACUUGUGCUAUUUGAGAUCUCGAGUUUGGUUCAGCAGAGCUUUCUGUAAAGCAUCCUUAGGAGCCCUGACAUCAGGUGACAGGGGAGGUGGCUGUGAUCUUUGGAUAGCCAGGCAGAGUGGAAUUCCUGUGAGAACCCCUGACAAGUACUCUUCUAAGUCCUUUGCUUCAGUGCCGUGAGGAAGGAUUAAAGCUGAUCCAUGCCAACUCUGUCAAUGGGCUCACCCUGGCUUGUUGGCAUAUUGUUGUUGACAGCUUCCAGGUGUAUGUUUUCUUAGAGAUGGAUUCCAUGCAAGAAAAAUGCUAUUCUUGUUGCCUAGGCAUUAGUUUAAUAAGUAAACAAGUUACAAAAUACUAAAGGAGAACACGAAGGUCUUUCCAGGCUUCCCACUGGGCUCCUCAGGAACUGCUUAUCUACCACUUUUCACACUAAAAAAGACCCAACAACUGUACUAUAGACAGGAUGUAUUUUAUCCUUUUUAUCUUAAUAAAUGUUUUAAAGGUUGUUCUUAUCCAUUAGGACCUCAGCACUGUAUACCUAUAGGGAGCCUCUCAUUUAAUUUGCAGAAUAAACAACAUCAUUUCCAUUUCAAAUCUAUAAAAAUAAGAGUCCAUGAGAUUAAAGAAAUUGUUCUGCAUCACAUCAUAAGGUAUUAAAAGUGGGUCCCUAGCCGGGCAUGUUGGCAGGUGCCUGUAAUCCCAGCUACUCAGAAGGCUGAGGCAGGAGAAUUGCUUGAACCCGGGAGGCGGAGGUUGCAGUGAGCUGAGAUGGCGCCACUGCACUCCAGCCUGGAUGACAGAGGAAACUCUGUCUCAAAACAAACAAACAAAAAAACCAACCAAACAAACAAAAACUGGGUCCCUAACUUGUAAUUAAGUAUCUAUCCAAGUGUCUAUCUUCCACAGAGAACACACAGUCUUGGAGUCUCACUUUCUACUGAUCAGGACCAUUAACCCCGCAACCUAGUUAGGCUACCAGGUUGGGCAGAUUUCUAUAGGACCUGGUCCCCUAAAGAGUAAAAAUCCCUCAACUGCUCCUUACUCCCUAACUUCAAAAGGAUCCAAAGGAUUUGGUUACCCGACAGGCCUGAGAUAAAGGCUUGAUUGUCUUUCCAGGAUUUCAAACCUGUUCUUUGGGGAUGGCCCAACCCCACUUGUUCAGUUUUGCAGCCAGAAGCAUGGAUUCAUCAUCAGUAUGGUGGGACGCUACUUCAGACUGCUUUCAUGUCAAGAUCUGCCUCAUCUUCCAAAGUGGGAGUUCCCAGCAUUAGGCUUGUGGGGGUGGAAGCUUAAUCCGCCUCCUUCCAAAAACUGAAGUGAGUCACUACCAACCUUGUCUCUCCACCCUUUACUGGGUCCAUACACAGCCCUGCCUUUUUUUAAGGAGGUGGAACCCAGCCUAAGGUCUCCAUUAAUGUGGAAUUGAGAAAGGGCAUCUGUUCUGGGUCAUUCUGACUUCCAGACUAGAAUUUAUCUCAGCUCUUAAGACAGAGCUAUCUUAAGAUAAGUUCUUAAGAGCUAACUUAAGAAAUCUUAAACAGUUUUACAGAAGUGGGUAAAAUCUCUGCAAGUCUUUGAAGAAUAUUAGCAAUGAAAAUGGUUGUUAUUUUUUCAAAAAAUAAUAACAUGAACUUGGAAUGGAUAGUUAUUUUGGCCAGAAGAUUAACAUGAAUUCUCUGACACCUGGGCAGAUUCCCCAUCUGAUCUGUGCUCCUUCCCAUUUGAACAUUGGAUACCUUUGAGAAACCUUCUUGGAGCAUGUAGAAAAGCCAGUACAUGGGCAUGGACAUACACAUACCCCACCCUUACAUUCUUCUUUUUGUUUC